rnacentral:piRNA from 1 species
UAGGACUGUUUAGACUUUACUAUUCCCACC